UUUAUGUGACAGGCCUCGUAGAGGGAGGGGUGAGAAGAGAUCUGGUCUGCAAGGUAGCAUUGGGUGGGACGGGCAGAGCUGAUUGGAGAAUGGUGCCAGGGCAGAGGAACAGCAUGAGCGAAGGCAGAAGCCGAGGGUUUCUGUUACCUGUGGCCAACCGCGUUCUGGAAGCAGAUGAUCCUCCUUCCGACAUAGGGCCAGAAGGUCAAUAGCAGCCCACCGGGUCACGCUGCCUAGGUCAUUCACCGCACUUCAUCUCAUCACGUAGGCGUCUUAUCAUCUCCCAUCAGCACAGGAAGAAGGUCUUUGCGGAUUCCGCCAUGGACAAGCCAGACGAGGUCUUCCAGAAAGCUUUUGGAGAGGGCAUGUCACCAACAC